rnacentral:rRNA from 1 species
AGUGAACGCUGGCGGUAGGCCUAACACAUGCAAGUCGAACGGCAGCACAGGAGAGCUUGCUCUCUGGGUGGCGAGUGGCGGACGGGUGAGGAAUACAUCGGAAUCUACUUUUUCGUGGGGGAUAACGUAGGGAAACUUACGCUAAUACCGCAUACGACCUACGGGUGAAAGCAGGGGACCUUCGGGCCUUGCGCGAUUGAAUGAGCCGAUGUCGGAUUAGCUAGUUGGCGGGGUAAAGGCCCACCAAGGCGACGAUCCGUAGCUGGUCUGAGAGGAUGAUCAGCCACACUGGAACUGAGCCACGGUCCAGACUCCUACGGGAGGCAGCAGUGGGGAAUAUUGGACAAUGGGCGCAAGCCUGAUCCAGCCAUGCCGCGUGGGUGAAGAAGGCCUUCGGGUUGUAAAGCCCUUUUGUUGGGAAAGAAAUCCAGCUGGCUAAUACCCGGUUGGGAUGACGGUACCCAAAGAAUAAGCACCGGCUAACUUCGUGCCAGCCGCCGCAGUAA